rnacentral:rRNA from 1 species
GAUGAACGCUGGCGGCGUGCUUAACACAUGCAAGUCGAACGAAGCACUUUAUUUGAUUUCCUUCGGGACUGAUUAUUUUGUGACUGAGUGGCGGACGGGUGAGUAACGCGUGGGUAACCUGCCUUGUACAGGGGGAUAACAGUUGGAAACGGCUGCUAAUACCGCAUAAGCGCACAGCAUCGCAUGAUGCAGUGUGAAAAACUCCGGUGGUAUAAGAUGGACCCGCGUUGGAUUAGCUAGUUGGUGAGGUAACGGCCCACCAAGGCGACGAUCCAUAGCCGACCUGAGAGGGUGACCGGCCACAUUGGGACUGAGACACGGCCCAAACUACUACGGGAGGCAGCAGUGGGGAAUAUUGCACAAUGGGCGAAAGCCUGAUGCAGCGACGCCGCGUGAGCGAAGAAGUAUUUCGGUAUGUAAAGCUCUAUCAGCAGGGAAGAUAAUGACGGUACCUGACGAAGAAGCACCGGCUAAAUACGUG